CCAGUUGGCUGGGCAGCCGCGCUUUAUCAAUGCCGAAAGGCGGUAGGGUGAGGAAAGUCCGGGCUCCACGGAAACACGGUGCCGGAUAACGUCCGGCGAGGGCGACCUCAGGGAAAGUGCCACAGAAAGCAAACCGCCUGUCAUGACAGGUAAGGGUGAAAGGGUGGGGUAAGAGCCCACCGCAUCUCCGGCAACGGAAAUGGCACGGUAAACCCCACCGGGAGCAAGACCGAAUAGGGAUGACGCGGCAGGCCGAAAGGCCUUCCGGCCGGUUUCCAGGCCAGUCAUCCGGGUGGGUUGCGCGAGGCAGCGUGCGAACGCUGUCCCAGAGGAAUGGCUGCCACGUUCCGGUUUACGCCGGAGCCAUACAGAACCCGGCUUACAGGCCAACUGGCGAU
rnacentral:RNase_P_RNA from 1 species